rnacentral:rRNA from 1 species
GAGUUUGAUCAUGGCUCAGGACGAACGCUGGCGGCGUGCUUAACACAUGCAAGUCGAGCGGAAAGGCCCUUCGGGGUACUCGAGCGGCGAACGGGUGAGUAACACGUGAGUAACCUGCCCUAGACUUUGGGAUAACCCUCGGAAACGGGGGCUAAUACCGGAUAUUCCUGACUGGUCGCAUGGUUGGUUGGGGAAAGUUUUUCGGUCUGGGAUGGACUCGCGGCCUAUCAGCUUGUUGGUGGGGUAAUGGCCUACCAAGGCGACGACGGGUAGCCGGCCUGAGAGGGCGACCGGCCACACUGGGACUGAGACACGGCCCAGACUCCUACGGGAGGCAGCAGUGGGGAAUAUUGCACAAUGGGCGGAAGCCUGAUGCAGCGACGCCGCGUGAGGGAUGACGGCCUUCGGUUG